GGCGUAAUAGUUUAAGUAGUUAAAACCUCUGUCUCAUAAGCAGAUAAUACAAGUGCAACUCUUGUUAACGCCA
rnacentral:tRNA from 1 species